AAAGCACCGGGAUCCACCUUUGCCAUAACAAAAGGACACUGACAUCCAAUCAGGAUUGAGGUCGCUGUGGGCGGGACCUGGAACAGCGACAGCCAAUGACAGUAAAGAAGCGAAGCUAAGCAGCGCUGGUGAAGCGGCUCGUCAGGUUUAUUAGGAAACCUGACAAUUGGAGUGAGAAUCCCAGUGUGGAAAAUCAGGAAAGAGGCUGGUAUGAGCGACAGAGAAGUCAUUCAGGAAAGAGGUUAUUGAAUUCAUUGGAGAAUGAAUGCUGUUCUGAAUUUGUAUCUUAAGGGAAAUACUACAAAAUGUUGCAGAAGGUGCUGGAUGGAUAUCUAAAGUUCAAAAAGGAAGAGAACCACACGAGCUGGAGAUUCAGGAAGCAUCAGUAGAAGUCAAUGGCCAUUAAUAAAAACAUUUUUUAUUAAAA